AGGUACAGGAACAAGGUCGGAGGGCAGAGUCCGCGGGAGCGACACGGAGGCCGGGACAGCUGCUGACGCCUGGUCUGGGUCAGUGGGGAGCCCUGGGGAUCCAGCCCGGUCCGGUGCUCCCAUCCUCAUCCAACGCGCUCCUCACAGGGGUGACCCCCAGCGAGGUGCCUGCGCCUACGUUCAGGGCGGACCCUGCAGGUUUCCUAUCAGAUGUUCCACCAUAAUAAUGCUGGGUAAC
rnacentral:lncRNA from 1 species